rnacentral:rRNA from 1 species
UACGUAGGCAGCAAGCGUUGUCCGGAUUUAUUGGGUUUAAAGGGUGCGUAGGCGGUUCUAUAAGUCAGUGGUGAAAUACGGCAGCUCAACUGUCGAGGUGCCAUUGAUACUGAAGAACUUGAGUACAGACGAGGUAGGCGGAAUUGACGGUGUAGCGGUGAAAUGCUUAGAUAUCGUCAAGAACACCGAUAGCGAAGGCAGCUUACUAGGCUGUAACUGACGCUGAGGCACGAAAGUGUGGGAAUCAAACAGG